UACGGGGGGAGCAAGCGUUGUUCGGAUUUACUGGGCGUAAAGGGCGCGUAGGCGGCCAGCACAAGUCAGUUGUGAAAUCUCCGAGCUUAACUCGGAAAGGUCAACUGAUACUGUGCGGCUAGAGUGCAGAAGGGGCAACUGGAAUUCUCGGUGUAGCGGUGAAAUGCGUAGAUAUCGAGAGGAACACCUGCGGCGAAAGCGGCUCACUGGACCAUAACUGACGCUGAUGCACGAAAGCUAGGGGAGCAAACAGG
rnacentral:rRNA from 1 species